GUCUGGGGAGGGGCGCAGGGCAGCGCACGUUUCCACUGCGCUCUCCUUUGUCUCCGUUUGGGAAGAGGUGGCGUCGAGACUAGCAGUGCUUGGCGGUCUCACGGACAAAUGUACUGAGCGCUGGAACCUGUAUGUACAAGACAGAAGACUUAGCUCCUGUAGAGCUUACAGUCUAGCAGAACAAUCAGUGGACACACAGCGACCCAUGGGCC
rnacentral:lncRNA from 1 species